AGUCGAGCGGUAGAGAGGUGCUUGCACCUCUUGAGAGCGGCGGACGGGUGAGUAAAGCCUAGGAAUCUGCCUGGUAGUGGGGGAUAACGCUCGGAAACGGACGCUAAUACCGCAUACGUCCUACGGGAGAAAGCAGGGGACCUUCGGGCCUUGCGCUAUCAGAUGAGCCUAGGUCGGAUUAGCUAGUUGGUGAGGUAAUGGCUCACCAAGGCGACGAUCCGUAACUGGUCUGAGAGGAUGAUCAGUCACACUGGAACUGAGACACGGUCCAGACUCCUACGGGAGGCAGCAGUGGGGAAUAUUGGACAAUGGGCGAAAGCCUGAUCCAGCCAUGCCGCGUGUGUGAAGAAGGUCUUCGGAUUGUAAAGCACUUUAAGUUGGGAGGAAGGGCAUUAACCUAAUACGUUAGUGUUUUGACGUUACCGACAGAAUAAGCACCGGCUAACUCUGUGCCAGCAGCCGCGGUAAUACAGAGGGUGCAAGCGUUAAUCGGAAUUACUGGGCGUAAAGCGCGCGUAGGUGGUUCGUUAAGUUGGAUGCGAAAUCCCCGGGCUCAACCUGGGAACUGCAUUCAAAACUGUCGAGCUAGAGUAUG
rnacentral:rRNA from 1 species